rnacentral:rRNA from 1 species
UACGGAGGGUGCGAGCGUUGUCCGGAAUCACUGGGCGUAAAGGCGCGUAGGCGGCGCGGGAAGUCAUCGGUGAAAGUUCAGGGCUCAACUCUGAAUCGGCCGGUGAUACUCUCGUGCUUGAGCACUGUAGAGGCAGGUGGAAUUCCGGGUGUAGCGGUGGAAUGCGUAGAGAUCCGGAAGAACACCGGUGGCGAAGGCGGCCUGCUGGGCAGUAGCUGACGCUGAUGCGCGACAGCGUGGGGAGCAAACAGGG